CAUUCACCUUUUGGGUUGCCUCAAUUCAAUCUCAUUCUUUUGACCUUCUACUUCCCAGGCCUCUUACUUGUGAUUGACCAAGGACCAGAGUGGAUGUGAAGGUGUAACUACUCUCAGACCCAUAGAAAACCUUUGCAUCUAAAGUAUAAAUGUAAUAACCAACUUAUGAAAUCAGCCUAGAUGACCAUCAACAGAUGAACAGUUAAUGAAAACAGGAGACCACAGUUGUCAGUAUUCAUCACAAAACACAGCAUUAGAAAGUGGAAAAUGAAUGGAAAUAGAACACAAAAUGUGAGGCAUACCAAAGAUGAUUCUUGCUGGGACCAACUCCUUAUUAAUCCAGAAAGACACCUGAGAAAGAAUGACUGUCAUAAUGCACAGAGUAUAUAUCUGGAUCAUGAAGUGGCCCAUCUUCCUUUUGAGACAUGUCUGUUCCUGGAAGCACCAAUCUACUU